GAAUGAUAACUUGUAGGCUCCACCACAAGUAUAUAAACUUCCUUACGAGACUCGUACGCGAGUGAACCUCUCAUGUAUGCUGGUGAAUCUGACAGCCUCGGAUGAAUAUUAAACUCUCUGAGCAAAAUGUAUCGGCGUGUUUCAGUUGCACCGUAUUCUUACACCUUUUCUUCCAUGGAUUGAUAUUAGAUCGGUUUGAGCCCGGAGGGUUAGCUGGUCGCUCAGAGGUGGAGACACUAGAGAUAGUGUUGCCAAACAAUAAUGACCUGUCAAAAAUAUGCUUUUUUGUCGGAAACGUUCGUUGUAUUUCGGCAAAAGUCGUUUUCCCACCAAUAAUUCGAGAUAAAUACGCUUGGCAUAGAGGGAAUCGUUCUCUUUUGUCCGUGACUUUCAACCAAAGCAGUAGUGCGCGUCGGUGGAUAACUUUAAGAGAAUUAAAAAGGAAUUGUCCACGUGGUGUAAAUAAUUCAGUAAUUAAUUACUAUUUGAGAAUUGUGUAUUAAAAAUCCCACGGGCACAGAGUGCUAAGAAUAGUGUAAAACAAGAGAAAAAGGUAAUUUAUUUGAUUUAUAGAACCACUCGUAAGGUUAGGAGACGUCACAUGUACUAAUGAUGUGUGCAGGUUCGCACGCUAGCGGGCCUUUUUCUUUUAUAUUGGUAUCGGAACAAGUUCCGAUUUUUCAUCCAUAGAACCCGGAUCUUCGCUCGAGGUCACCGCUACUACGGCGGAAAUAUAACUCCACCAGGAAGUACGAAGCAUUCCGGGAAGGUUGGACGGAAUUCUGGCGAAACAUUUACACGAUUUCCCACGUUAGGCCAUCCCCAACAAUCUGUGGGCCGUUCCCGAUAGUGAGGGCGUAGGACGCCAUUUUCCCAAGCCUACGAAUACCGAAAGCUGUCAGCGUAGCCGAAAUUCAUGGUGUCCCAACAUCGCUUCAUCUUUAAAACAAUUAAGACCAUGGGAGAUAUGGAGGUUCGUCAGCUUGUAGUGUUGGCUGUUACACUGGUGUUGCAUUGCCAUAUGCAUAUAUAAAGCUAAUACAAGGAUUGCAUAUGUAUGAAAGCUGUUUCGUUCAAGAGCACGGAAGGAAAGGAAGCGAAGGAAAAGCGGCAAGCACAUAAGGUAACAUGUGACGUCAGUAUACAUUAAGAGUAAAUGUGAAAAAUUGUUAAUUUUGGAUAGUAAAUAGGAUAGGUAUGUUAGGAGUAGGAGAAGGAAAAUUAAACAAGGUUAAACUGAA